CAGCCGCCACGGUAAUACGUAGGGUGCGAGCGUUAAUCGGAAUUACUGGGCGUAAAGCGUGCGCAGACGGUUGUGUAAGACAGGUGUGGAAUCCCCGGGCUUAACCUGGGAAUGGCGCUUGUGACUGCAAAGCUAGAGUGCGGCAGAGGGGGAUGGAAUUCCGCGUGUAGCAGUGAAAUGCGUAGAUAUGCGGAGGAACACCGAUGGCGAAGGCAAUUCCCUGGGCCUGCACUGACGCUCAUGCACGAAAGCGUGGGGAGCAAACAGGAUUAGAUACCCCUGUAGUCCCUGUCUCUUAUAC
rnacentral:rRNA from 1 species